GCUGGUUUUGUCCACGGGCGUCACGGCGUCCCUUGCACAUACAUGAUCCGUGAGACGAUCCCCGUGGUGGAAUGUGCACACUGUGAGUAUGAUUUCAAACCAUUGUUAGCUUUAUUCUCACAGCGUUCCUUUUGUUCUCCCCAUUGCAGAUGAAUUUCAUCCAAGACUGCUGCUCACUGGGACACCUGAGACAACAGGCCACACAGAGCCAAAGGGCAGUUGUAAACUGAAAUAGGCAGAGUUGCAAACCGGUCUCUCCUUCCUGAUUGCAGUUGAGUGGUAGAAGCCUGAAGAACUCCUGCUGCCCAGGCUGCCAGGAUUUCUCAGAAAGACACCCACAUGAUCACCGUGGUGCUCGCAGAAGCCUUUGUUGGGAAGAAGCUCACCCAGCCUGGCAAAGGGAGCAGGAGGGAGAGAAGCCCAUGUGAGGUUGGAGUGGUGGCUAACAUGCGUGAGGGUCACAGUGCUGAAGAGGAUCAGUGGAGGACACUGUGGGGGGGGGCCUGUCUCAGAAACCAGGAGUCUGAUGUUGGAGAAGUGCAGUGAGUUGAGGAAUGGUGCUUCUGCUCUUCCCAGACACACCUAUAGGUGGAAUGAUAGGUGCCUUUCCUAUCAGAUUUAAAGGUCAGAUUUGGUGAUCACAUGAUUUACCUGCUCUUCAUUGAAGCUGAUGGCCAGCAUGGCCAGGACAGCCCAUGGAGCUACCUCCCUGCAAGCUGGGAGUGCUUGGUGGCCAUGUCCUAUCAGCAGAAGUGAAGAAAUUGUUCUGGAGUCAGCAUGGGGCUUUCUGCAAAAUGCACAUUGUAAUCCCCUGACUUUCAGGUUUGCACAAACAGGACCACCUUGCACCUGGUUUUGUAUAGCCCAAAUGCUGCUCAUGCUGCUCAUUGAUUCAAGUGAACUUUGCUUUAAAAAAAGAUGGUGGUUUAUAACCUUAGUGCAGUGCCAGCACCUCUGCAACUUGUUCUUUGCAUACCAUCAAGCUGUGCAGUGCGGUGCAGGUGGCAGGGUGGGGACAGCCCUUGCUGCAUCCCUUUUGUUGUGUUGCCUGUACAGUGCCGUCCUGGCACUUAGCAGGUUCUCCUUUUCCUUCUCCUUUCCUUUACCUCGCCUCCCCUCUCCCUCUUCCCUUUCCUUUCCUUCUUCCCUUUCCCUCCCCUUUCCCUCCCCUCCCCUUUCCCUCCCCUCCCCUUUCCCUCCCUUUUCCCUUCCCUCCCUUUUCCCUCCCCUCCCCUUCCCUUCCCUUCCCUUCCCUUCCCUUCCCUUCCC
ensembl:lncRNA